rnacentral:rRNA from 1 species
UCCAGACUCCUACGGGAGGCAGUAGUGGGGGAUAUUGGACAAUGGGGGGAACCCUGAUCCAGCGACGCCGCGUGAGUGAAGAAGUAUCUCGGUAUGUAAAGCUCUAUCAGCAGGGAAGAAGAAAUGACGGUACCUGAGUAAGAAGCCCCGGCUAACUACGUGCCAGCAGCCGCGGUAAUACGUAGGGGGCAAGCGUUAUCCGGAAUUACUGGGUGUAAAGGGUGCGUAGGUGGCAUGGUAAGUCAGAAGUGAAAGCCCGGGGCUUAACCCCGGGACUGCUUUUGAAACUGUCAUGCUGGAGUGCAGGAGAGGUAAGCGGAAUUCCUAGUGUAGCGGUGAAAUGCGUAGAUAUUAGGAGGAACACCAGUGGCGAAGGCGGCUUACUGGACUGUCACUGACACUGAUGCACGAAAGCGUGGGGAGCAAACAGGAUUAGAUACCCGUGUAC